rnacentral:tRNA from 1 species
GCAGGUGUAAUCUAGUCUGGUUAGGAUUUUGGCCUUCCAACUCAUCCAACGGGAAUUAAAAAUUGGAGAGGGACGAAAGCCAACGGCCCGGGUUCGAAUCCCGGCACCUGCA